rnacentral:rRNA from 1 species
UGGCCCUACGGGGCGCAGCAGUCGGGAAUAUUGCACAAUGGAGGAAACUCUGAUGCAGUGACACCGCGUAUAGGAAGAAGGUUUUCGGAUUGUAAACUAUUUUAGACAGGGAAGAAAAAAGACAGUACCUGUAGAAUAAGCUCCGGCUAACUACGUGCCAGCAGCCGCGGUAAUACGUAGGGGGCUAGCGUUAUCCGGAAUUACUGGGCGUAAAGGGUGCGUAGGUGGUUUCUUAAGUCAUAGGUGAACGGCUACGGCUCAACCGUAGUAAGCCUUUGAAACUGGGGGACUUGAGUGCAGGAGAG